UUGACUUUAUUAUUUCAGAGUGCAAAAUGUAGAAUGAGAAUCAUUGGAUAUAAUGUCAUAAUGAUUCUGCUUGUUCACAGGAGAUUGUGUUGGACCUGGAAGUAACGGGUGAGGAUGAGACAUGUUUCCGGGAACACAUUAAUGCCAUCACCCUGGAGUUGCGUAAAAGCAACCCCAGGUACUCUGAGCUCAAGAACCAGUUGAAGCACACUCUUUUCCAAAGAGUACAGAUUAUGGAGAGGCCUGCAGCUGAAGUAAUGGAGCAGUUUCCUUUUCUUGGAGUGCCACAGCUUAUGCUGCAUGAAAUGACAAUGAGGUUUGGACCAGACUUGGCGAAGAACAUGGAAACAUCUCUAAAUGAAAUGGCCCCAAACAUCAUCAGGAGUGCUAAAGAAGGAAGUCAAAAAACUCUACGGCAAUCUCAUUGGACCAGCAGAGGAAACCACAGAAGGAACCCAAAGGUCCUACACCAACCACCAUGUUCAUGGCUCUCCUGAUCCCCUCAAGGCUGAAAGUGUCAGCAUUAUAAUGGACAAUGAGAACAUUAUAAGAGAGGCAGACAUUGACAUGACACAGGCUGUGGAAUGCCUGUUUGCAGUCUAUUUUCUUUUCAAUGUGCAAUACCCAGUUGCCAUUAAGCACACAAUGAUUUUCAUUAAAAAAUAUAUGCUUAAACUUAGAUGUUGCCAUGACACAAGAACACCAAUACCUGUACUAAAAAUGUAGUCAACUUGUGUAAAUUGUAGUGCCAUUUAGUAGAUGUUUUAAUUGUUCAUGUAUUGUUUUUAUCUGCAUUGAUUUGU